GGCUGUCCGAUCGGGCAAUGCCGCGAAGCUACCACGCGUUGGAUUAUGGCUGAACGCCUCUAAGCCAGAAUCCGUGCUAGAAACGAUGAUGUUAGUCCCGCGAAUCUUAGUCGAGUUAAGAUAGAGCCUUGUGCUCGUAAACCAUAGUUGGCUGGUCACUCUAUUCUUGGCGGAAAGGCCUUGGGUAGUCACCGGUGAAUUGCAUUCGAAAUAUACGCGGGGGUGAAUCCUUUGCAGACGACUUGAAUAGAACGGAGUACUGUAAGUGGUAGAGUAGCCUUGUUGUUACGAUCUACUGAGGCUAAGCUCUUGUUCAACAGAUUU
rnacentral:rRNA from 15 species